AAACUUCAACAACGGAUCUCUUGGUUCCGGCAUCGAUGAAGAACGCAGCGAAAUGCGAUAGUAAUGUGAAUUGCAGAAUUCCGUGAAUCAUCGAAUCUUUGAACGCACAUUGCGCCCCCUGGAUUCCGGGGGCAUGCCUGUCCGAGCGUCAUU
rnacentral:rRNA from 1 species